AGUUAUUCUUGUGCUUUGGUGGGGAAAGGCGUACAAAAUUAUAUAGGUUAUACAAUGAACAAAAUGACAUGGUGCUUGGUAGGAAAAAAUGUCAUAGUACGUCGUACAUGCAAAAUACCCCGCAACUAUACUUAAAAAAGAAACCGACAGGGUUAGGAUAAAACUUCUAUGAAAAGGAAGCACUUAAGAAACCAACAACUUUGUAGUUUGUACGAUUUUAUUUUUGUGUUACCCACAUAUUAGGAUGAUAUUAUUUAAUUUUGUAGUUAAUGAUAGUACCAAAUUUGAGGAAAAAUCGGCUUCUGUACCUGUGACAAUAAAAUAAACAAAGCUAAAAAAA